CCUACGGGGGGCUGCAGUGGGGAAUAUUGGACAAUGGGGGCAACCCUGAUCCAGCCAUGCCGCGUGUGUGAAGAAGGCCCUCGGGUUGUAAAGCACUUUCAGUGAGGAAGAACGCCUGGUGGUUAAUACCCAUCAGGAAAGACAUCACUCACAGAAGAAGCACCGGCUAACUCCGUGCCAGCAGCCGCGGUAAUACGGAGGGUGCGAGCGUUAAUCGGAAUUACUGGGCGUAAAGCGCGCGUAGGUGGCUUGAUAAGCCGGUUGUGAAAGCCCCGGGCUCAACCUGGGAACGGCAUCCGGAACUGUCAAGCUAGAGUGCAGGAGAGGAAGGUAGAAUUCCCGGUGUAGCGGUGAAAUGCAUAGAGAUCGGGAGGAAUACCAGUGGCGAAGGCGGCCUUCUGGACUGACACUGACACUGAGGUGCGAAAGCGUGGGUAGCAAACAGGAUUAGAUACCCCGGUAGUC
rnacentral:rRNA from 1 species